UACACCUUCUUCUUCAGGGAGUUUAAUACAUUGUUUUGUCAUUCAAUAAAUUCUAAUAUGGUAUUAGAGCGAAUCAAAGCUUCCUGCUGCUGCUUUUCUUUUCCAGAAUUUUGCUGGAAUUAUUCUUGGUUUUCUGAUUGUUGCUGAUAAUGGCAGAACCUUCCAAAUUCAAAGUUCAUUCAUGUUCAUAAUGUUGGACGUGAAAAUUCCCUCUCCUCUUUCAGAUUUUUAUUCUCUAAAAUUUUAGAGAUCUUUAUGGAUGGUCAGAACCUUUUCCUCCUCAAAUUGGAGUUUUUGUCUCCAUUGCUUAUAUAUCAGACAGCUGCAAUUUCUUUUCUGCAAAAGUUAGCUGCUCGUGCAAUCAUCUUAUUUGUCCGAGUUUGUGUCUAAGUAUUAUGGCAAUGAGUGGAAUGUUGACCAGAUUUCCUCAUUUUGUAUCUUCUUUUAUGACUUCUUAGUUUUCACUAAUAAAGGUGACUUUCACUUCCUGGCCAAUGUAUGUGAUAUUGUUGGAGGUGUUUUCGU
rnacentral:lncRNA from 1 species